rnacentral:tRNA from 2 species
GUUUUAAUAGUUUAAAAAAAACGCUGGUCUUGUAAACCAGAAAUAAGAAUAAGCCCCCACUUUUAAAACU